rnacentral:rRNA from 1 species
UCCAGACUCCUACGGGAGGCAGCAGUGAGGAAUAUUGGUCAAUGGGCGCGAGCCUGAACCAGCCAAGUCGCGUGAGGGAUGACGGUCCUACGGAUUGUAAACCUCUUUUGCCGGGGAGCAAGCGUGCGUUCGUGAACGCGCGUCGAGAGUACCCGGAGAAAAAGCAUCGGCUAACUCCGUGCCAGCAGCCGCGGUAAUACGGAGGAUGCGAGCGUUAUCCGGAUUUAUUGGGUUUAAAGGGUGCGUAGGCGGGCUGUUAAGUCAGCGGUAAAAGCCCGGGGCUCACCCCCGGCGAGCCGUUGAAACUGGCUGUCUUGAGAUGUCGAGAGGUAUGCGGAAUGCGCAGUGUAGCGGUGAAAUGCUUAGAUAUUGCGCAGAACUCCGAUUGCGAAGGCAGCAUACCGGCGGCGAUCUGACGCUGAGGCACGAAAGCGUGGGUAUCGAACAGGAUUAGAUACCCGGGUA